UGCUGUUGGGAGACCCUGGUCUGCACCUCUAUCUGUAAACAUACUGAAGGGAGAGCAGGGCAGGGUUUCCCAUACAGGAGGCACAGGCUACCAUCUCUUG